UACGUAGGGCGCAAGCGUUGUCCGGAAUUAUUGGGCGUAAAGAGCUCGUAGGUGGUUUGUCGCGUCUGUCGUGAAAGCCCAUGGCUUAACUGUGGGUCUGCAGUCGAUACGGGCAGGCUAGAAUUCGGUAGGGGAGACUGGAAUUCCUGGUGUAGCGGUGAAAUGCGCAGAUAUCAGGAGGAACACCGGUGGCGAAGGCGGGUCUCUGGGCCGAUAUUGACGCUGAGGAGCGAAAGCGUGGGGAGCGAACAGG
rnacentral:rRNA from 1 species